GCCCGGAUAGCUCAGUUGGUAGAGCAACGGAUUGAAAAUCCGUGUGUCGGCGGUUCAAAUCCGUCUCCGGGCACCA
rnacentral:tRNA from 1 species